CCUACGGGUGGCAGCAGUGAGGAAUAUUGGUCAAUGGGCGCGAGCCUGAACCAGCCAAGUCGCGUGAGGGAGGACGGCCCUACGGGUUGUAAACCUCUUUUGCCGGGGAGCAACGGGCGUCACGUGUGGCGCCACUGAGAGUACCCGGAGAAAAAGCAUCGGCUAACUCCGUGCCAGCAGCCACGGUAAGACGGAGGAUGCGAGCGUUAUCCGGUUUUAUUGGGUUUAAAGGGUGCGUAGGCGGAGCGUUAAGUCAGUGGUCAAAUUGAGGGGCUCAACCCCGUCCCGCCAUUGAUACUGGCGAGCUUGAGUGGAAGAGAGGUAUGCGGAAUGCGAGGUGUAGCGGUGAAAUGCAUAGAUAUGACGCAGAAUCCCGAUUGCGAAGGCAGCAUGCCGGCUUCCGACUGACGCUGAAGCACGAAAGCGUGGGGAUCGAACAGGAUUAGAUACCCGUGUAGUC
rnacentral:rRNA from 1 species